CUUGUGGUCUUAGGUGACCCCUGUGAAUGAGUUGUUUGACGUCCUAAGGGGAUACAACCCACAGGUUGAGAACAACUGCCUCAAGAACUACAACAGCCAAGACCAACCUGAUGUCAGACAUAGCGAAGAAGGCACGGCCCCCUUUCCUACCAGUUUUUGGGUGUUUGAAUUUAAUCUGCAACUGCCAGCUACCCAGUCUCAGGCAAAUGACAUUACACUGUACCAUUGCAAAGGGAUCUGUGGCAUAAAUAAAUGUAUCGGGAGGUCAAGAGGUCAAGAGCAUAAACGAGGCAAAGAUUUCAAAGAAAUCACCGACCAAAUGAUUUAUAAAUCAUGGAAAACACUGCUCCGGCCAUAAAAGAGAAAUUAAAUUUAUACAUCAUGAGCUUCAGGAUGCCUUGGGUUCUGGUGGGUAACUGGGUUAGAAAUAGAAGCACUUAUGUCAUCCUGCCGCUGGUCUGGAGCCUUGCUAUAGUGGCAUUUACCCUAGGACCUUAAAUCAGGA
rnacentral:lncRNA from 1 species